UACGUAGGGGGCAAGCGUUGUCCGGAUUUAUUGGGCGUAAAGAGCGUGUAGGCGGCUUUACAGGUCCGUUGUGAAAACUCGAGGCUCAACCUCGAGACGCCGGUGGAAACCGUAAAGCUAGAGUCCGGAAGAGGAGAGUGGAAUUCCUGGUGUAGCGGUGAAAUGCGCAGAUAUCAGGAAGAACACCCGUGGCGAAGGCGGCUCUCUGGGACGGUACUGACGCUGA
rnacentral:rRNA from 1 species